UACGUAGGGUGCGAGCGUUAAUCGGAAUUACUGGGCGUAAAGCGUGCGCAGGCGGUCUUGCAAGACAGAGGUGAAAUCCCCGGGCUCAACCUGGGAACUGCCUUUGUGACUGCAAGGCUAGAGUACGGCAGAGGGGGAUGGAAUUCCGCGUGUAGCAGUGAAAUGCGUAGAUAUGCGGAGGAACACCGGUGGCGAAGGCAAUCCCCUGGGCCUGUACUGACGCUCAUGCACGAAAGCGUGGGGAGCAAACAGG
rnacentral:rRNA from 1 species